rnacentral:rRNA from 1 species
AACGAACGCUGGCGGCAGGCCUCAAACAUGCAAGUCUAGGGGGUGUAGCAAUACAUCACCGGCGGACGGGUGCGUAACGCGUGGGAAUAUACCUAUCGAUUCGGAACAACUGAGGGAAACUUCAGCUAAUACCGAAUACGUCCUAACGGAGAAAGAUUUAUCGUCGAUAGAUUAGCCCGCGUUCGAUUAGCUAGUUGGUGGGGUAACGGCCCACCAAGGCGACGAUCGAUAGCUGUUCUGAGAGGAAGAUCAGCCACACUGGGACUGAGACACGGCCCCAGACUCCUACGGGAGGCAGCAGUUGGGAAUCUUGGACAAUGGGGGAAACCCUGAUCCAGCCAUGCCGCGUGAGUGAUGAAGG